GUUCAUCCAAUUUAGUCUCAAAUUCAAGAAAUGAAAUUUCUAAAAAAAUUCAUAAGCCAAAAAACGGAAAUGGAAAUCGGGUUUUAUGGGGUCGAAGUGGAUUUAGGAGUUAUAGUAGUGAAUCAGAUAGAGAAACUAUGAAUUAUGAUGUGGUGAUUGUUGGAGCUGGACCAGCUGGGUUAUCAGCUGCUAUUAAGCUCAAACAAUUGUGCCAACAAAAGGAUGUUGAUUUAUCAGUUUGUGUUGUUGAGAAAGGAGCUGAAGUGGGUGCUCAUAUCUUGUCAGGAAAUGUAUUUGAGCCACGGGCACUCGAUGAACUCGUUCCCCAUUGGAAAGAGGAAGAGGCUCCCAUUGAUGUCCCUGUUACCUCUGAUAACUUUUGGCUGCUUACGGAAAAUCGUGCCUUUUCACUUCCAAGCCCAUUUGACAAUAAGGGAAACUAUGUCAUAAGUUUGGGUCAGUUGGUA
rnacentral:misc_RNA from 1 species